UACGUAGGGUGCAAGCGUUGUCCGGAAUUAUUGGGCGUAAAGAGCUCGUAGGCGGUCUGUCGCGUCGGCUGUGAAAACUCGGGGGCUCAACCCCGAGCCUGCAGUCGAUACGGGCAGACUAGAGUGCUGUAGGGGAGACUGGAAUUCCUGGUGUAGCGGUGAAAUGCGCAGAUAUCAGGAGGAACACCGGUGGCGAAGGCGGGUCUCUGGGCAGUAACUGACGCUGAGGAGCGAAAGCGUGGGGAGCGAACAGG
rnacentral:rRNA from 1 species